AGGCCCGGAAAGAGAGGCAGGGUCUGACCCGCAGCCUCCGUGGCAGCUGUCGAUCAGUCGUUGCCUCUCUCUUUCUCUCGG
rfam:Myotis brandtii contig229049, whole genome shotgun sequence.